UCCCUGUUCGUCUUGCCUUCUGGAACGAUCCUGUUAUUGGAGCCGAGCUCGCUGGCAGCCGUUUGAAUGCCGCCAUCCUCAUUAUAGCCCGUCCAGAGUGAAACAGUGUCUGCUACAUCGCAAGCUGAUAUUUGUCGGAGAUUCAACUAACCGUGGGAUGAUGGAAGCUUUGCUGGAACGGCUAGACGGUUGGCUAACGACGUCCGACAGGACAAAGUGGCAC